CUGAGGACACUCCAGAGUAGUAAUUGUCAUUGUGGACUCCAGCAGGUCUACAUGUUCUGUUAAGAGACUGGAUUCUGAGAGCGAGAUCCUGUGAAGUGUUCAUCAAAGCUGAAGAGAAGAACUGCAUCUGUAUGCUGUGAAGUGAGUCCAGAUGCUACAGACACAGAAAAAGAUGCCGCAAUGGAGGAACACAGCAAGCACCUUCCAGGAAGAGCUGAAGAAUAUUAGAAAUAAAGACUCUAAAAUAACA